rnacentral:rRNA from 1 species
CACGUAGGGGACGAGCGUUGUCCGGAAUCAUUGGGCGUAAAGCGCGCGUAGGCGGCCUGGAAAGUCGGUUGUGAAAGCCCGGGGCUCAACCCCGGGACUGCAUCCGAUACUUCCAGGCUGGAGGUAGGUAGGGGAGAUCGGAAUUCCUGGUGUAGCGGCGAAAUGCGCAGAUAUCAGGAGGAACACCGGUGGCGAAGGCGGAUCUCUGGGCCUUACCUGACGCUGAGGCGCGAAAGCUAGGGGAGCGAACAGG